rnacentral:rRNA from 1 species
AAUCAACGCUGGCGGCGUGCCUCAGACAUGCAAGUCGAACGAUUAAGACUCUCUUCGGAGAGUGUAUAAAGUGGCGCACGGGUGAGUAACACGUAGGUAAUGUACCGUAGGGUGGGGAAUAACUCAGGGAAACUUGAGCUAAUACCGCAUAAUGCAGCGGCACCGCAAGGUGACAGUUGUUAAAGAUUUAUCGCUUGAGGAGGAGCUUGCGGCAGAUUAGCUAGUUGGUAAGGUAAUGGCUUACCAAGGCUACGAUCUGUAACCGGUCUUAGAGGACGGUCGGUCACACUGACACUGAAUAACGGGUCAGACUCCUACGGGAGGCAGCAGUCGGGAAUUUUGGGCAAUGGGCGAAAGCCUGACCCAGCAACGCCGCGUGAAGGAUGAAGUAUUUCGGUAUGUAAACUUCGAAAGAAUAGGAAGAAUUAAUGACGGUACUAUUUAUAAGGUCCGGCUAACUACGUGCCAGCAGCCGCCGUAAAAC